rnacentral:rRNA from 1 species
UGAUCCUGGCUCAGGAUGAACGCUGGCGGCGUGCUUAACACAUGCAAGUCGAACGAAGCACUUUAUUUGAUUUCCUUCGGGACUGAUUUAUUUUUGUGACUGAGUGGCGGACGGGUGAGUAACGCGUGGGUAACCUGCCUUGUACGAGGGGGAUAACAGUUGGAAACGGCUGCUAAUACCGCAUAAGCGCACAGCAUCGCAUGAUGCAGUGUGAAAAACUCCGGUGGUAUAAGAUGGACCCG